AAACGAGGAGGUCAUGCGUAUGCAUAUUAUAUGUUCAGUCUAUAGGUAUGUAUGCAGUGUUUCUUUACAAAGUGACAUCGCCAACUACCGGCCUGGCAUGCAUAAUGCAGCAUUUUUAUUUGUUUGCAUAGAUCAAUGUGAAAAGGGAUUGUUUUGACAAUGUUGUCACCUGAAUAGAAAUCUUUUCAAAAACACAAAGGAAAAACUUCUCUUCUUUUUGUUGUCGUGUAAACACCCCAAGUUUUCUCAUUUAACAAUGCCACAUAAACUUCAUUCAUUCAACUUAACUAGGCAGACACCUUGCUUUGUUUAACAUGGAGUCUGUAAGGAUCCGUCUCCAAAUGCUGAUCGGUGACCCAUUUAGCAUGUCCUCAAAUAAUCUUCACAUUAAGCAGCGUUGGUCCUCAUCUUAGGUCACAGGUGGCUGGGCUCCUGGGGCCCAGAACGAGUAGAGUUAAUUGAACACAAGGCGCCCGUCCCCCUGCCUACGUGCUCGCCGUCUGAGUGGAACAGUGUAUUUCCAGCGAGCGAGUGAAAGACAGAAUAAUGCCGUGCCUUGUGUGCCCCGGCGAGCGAUCACUGCUCUGCCGUUGCCAUGGUGACAGUGCCCUCGCUGGGUACAGCGGGCUGGAGAAGUUGCUCUGGCUCUGCGUCAUAUUUAUUCCAGUGGAUCCGUAUGCUCUCUCCCGCCUCCUCCUUUUUGCUCUCCUCUAUGUUCUCUCUCUCUCGCUCUCUCUCUCUCUCUCUCUCUCUCUGUCCAUGCUUUUUAGGGCUAAUUGACCCAGCUCCAGAUCAUCAAUACGUCGAGCUUCGACUAGCACAAACAGCACAGACCCUGAAAAGCGUGGCAGCACCUGGAACACCACCGUGACUGCGAGCGAAGAAGAAGCCCAUGCUAACAGUGCGUGGACUGAACAACACCAUUUCAUUAAGAGCAGUGCCAAACAUGUGAGAAGAUGUCUGUUGGA